AAUAGAUACCCCGGUAGUCCACGCCGUAAACGAUGAGUGCUAAGUGUUAGGGGGUUUCCGCCCCUUAGUGCUGCAGCUAACGCAUUAAGCACUCCGCCUGGGGAGUACGGUCGCAAGACUGAAACUCAAAGGAAUUGAUGGGGGCCCGCACAAGCGGUGGAGCAUGUGGUUUAAUUCGAAGCAACGCGAAGAACCUUACCAGGUCUUGACAUCCCGCUGACCGGCCUAGAGAUAGGUCUUUCCCUUCGGGGACAGCGGUGACAGGUGGUGCAUGGUUGUCGUCAGCUCGUGUCGUGAAAUGUUGGGUUAAGUCCCGCAACGAGCGCAACCCUUGAUCUUAGUUGCCAGCAUUCAGUUGGGCACUCUAAGGUGACUGCCGGUGAUAAACCGGAGGAAGGUGGGGAUGACGUCAAAUCAUCAUGCCCCUUAUGACCUGGGCUACACACGUGCUACAAUGGACGGUACAGAGGGUCGCAACCCCGCGAGGGUGAGCUAAUCCCAAUAAAACCGUUCUCAGUUCGGAUUGCGAGGUCUGACACUCG
rnacentral:rRNA from 1 species